rnacentral:lncRNA from 1 species
CGGGAGUUACCGUCCAAUAACAGGAGGGGAUGGGCUGCCUGAGCCAAUAAGAAGUCUGUAAGGCGGGGCCAGGACUGCAGCAAGUUCGGUUGCGCGGAAACCGCAGCUGUUCCCUGUCAGUGGAGGUAGCGGCGGUAGAGACGGUGGCGACGACUUGCGGCGGAGGCGCGGAGGUGCCUGCACUCCGACUGCCGUAGGGAUUCUCGUAGUAACCUUGUCGGGAUCCUCGGUUCCAUGGAUUUCGGAGGGGGAAGCAGCGGUUCGUCCUAGGCUGCUCCGUGAGGAGGAGGAGAUAGCAGCUGCCUUCUGAGAGCCAACAGAAAACUGAGGGUAAGUCCGUGCCUGAUUCCA